rnacentral:rRNA from 1 species
GAUCCUGGCUCAGGACGAACGCUGGCGGCGUGCUUAAUACAUGCAAGUCGAACGAGAAUCUGCGGAAAGAGGAUUCGUCCAAUUGAAGCAGAGGACAGUGGCGGACGGGUGAGUAACGCGUGAGGAACCUGCCUUUCAGAGGGGGACAACAGUUGGAAACGACUGCUAAUACCGCAUGACACAUUGGGGUCGCAUGGCCCUGAUGUCAAAGAUUUAUCG